CAGAGUUCACGCCCGAGAGGGUAGACCUCCCACCCUUGCGUAUCAUUACUUUGUUGCUUUGGCGCGCCGCCCCCGGGCCUCGCGCGCGCGCCAGAGGAUAACCAAACUCUUUAUAUCAACGUCGUCUGAGCACUAUAUAAUAGUUA
rnacentral:misc_RNA from 1 species